UACGUAGGGUGCAAGCGUUGUCCGGAAUUAUUGGGCGUAAAGAGCUCGUAGGCGGUUCGUCGCGUCGGCUGUGAAAACCUGAGGCUCAACCUCAGGCCUGCAGUCGAUACGGGCGGACUAGAGUUCGGCAGGGGAGACUGGAAUUCCUGGUGUAGCGGUGAAAUGCGCAGAUAUCAGGAGGAACACCGGUGGCGAAGGCGGUGGGCUGGGCCGGCACUGACGCUGAGGAGCGAAAGCGUGGGGAGCGAACAGG
rnacentral:rRNA from 1 species